GGGUUGUGAGGUUAAGCGACUAAGCGUACACGGUGGAUGCCCUGGCAGUCAGAGGCGAUGAAGGGCGUGCUAAUCUGCGAUAAGCGCCGGUAAGGUGAUAUGAACCGUUAUAACCGGCGAUACCCGAAUGGGGAAACCCAGUGUGACUCGUCACACUAUCAUUAACUGAAUCCAUAGGUUAAUGAGGCGAACCGGGGGAACUGAAACAUCUAAGUACCCCGAGGAAAAGAAAUCAACCGAGAUUCCCCCAGUAGCGGCGAGCGAACGGGGAGGAGCCCAGAGCCUGAAUCAGCAUGUGUGUUAGUGGAAGCGUCUGGAAAGACGCGCGAUACAGGGUGACAGCCCCGUACACAAAAGCGUAUGUGCUGUGAGCUCGAUGAGUAGGGCGGGACACGUGGUAUCCUGUCUGAAUAUGGGGGGACCAUCCUCCAAGGCUAAAUACUCCUGACUGACCGAUAGUGAACCAGUACCGUGAGGGAAAGGCGAAAAGAACCCCGGCGAGGGGAGUGAAAAAGAACCUGAAACCGUGUACGUACAAGCAGUGGGAGCACAGGUUUACCUGUGUGACUGCGUACCUUUUGUAUAAUGGGUCAGCGACUUAUAUUCUGUAGCAAGGUUAACCGAAUAGGGGAGCCGGAGGGAAACCGAGUCUUAAUUGGGCGUUAAGUUGCAGGGUAUAGACCCGAAACCCGGUGAUCUAGCCAUGGGCAGGUUGAAGGUUGGGUAACACUAACUGGAGGACCGAACCGACUAAUGUUGAAAAAUUAGCGGAUGACCUGUGGCUGGGGGUGAAAGGCCAAUCAAACC
rnacentral:rRNA from 1 species